UACGGAGGGUGCAAGCGUUAAUCGGAAUUACUGGGCGUAAAGAGUACGUAGGUGGUUUGAUAAGCGAGAUGUGAAAGACCUGGGCUUAACCUGGGAAGUGCAUUUCGAACUGUCAAGCUAGAGUAUAGUAGAGGGUGGUAGAAUUUCCGGUGUAGCGGUGAAAUGCGUAGAGAUCGGAAGGAAUAUCGGUGGCGAAGGCGGCCACCUGGACUGAUACUGACACUGAGGUACGAAAGCGUGGGUAGCAAACAGG
rnacentral:rRNA from 1 species